GACAGAGGGUGCAAACGUUGCUCGGAAUCACUGGGCGUAAAGGGCGUGUAGGCGGGACAGUAAGUCGGGCGUGGAAUCCCUGGGCUCAACCCAGGAACUGCACUCGAAACUACUAUUCUUGAGUGUCGGAGAGGAAAGCGGAAUUCCUGGUGUAGAGGUGAAAUUCGUAGAUAUCAGGAGGAACACCAGUGGCGAAGGCGGCUUUCUGGACGAUAACUGACGCUGAGACGCGAAAGCGUGGGGAGCAAACAGG
rnacentral:rRNA from 1 species